rnacentral:RNase_P_RNA from 2 species
UGAGUCGGCCAGAUAAUCGCUGCCUGUGACGAAAAUGAUCAGGGGGAGGAAAGUCCGGGCUCCAUAGGGCAGGGUGCCAGCUAACGGCUGGGGGGCGCGAGCCUACGACCAGUGCAACAGAGAGCAAACCGCCGAUGGCCUUCGGGCACAGGUAAGGGUGAAAGGGUGCGGUAAGAGCGCACCGCGCGACUGGCAACAGUUCGUGGCACGGUAAACUCCACCCGGAGCAAGACCAAAUAGGGUUCCUUAAGGUGUGGCCCACAUCGGAACCGGGUAGGUUGCUUGAGCCUAAGAGUGAUCUUAGGCCUAGACGAAUGAUUAUCCAAGACAGAACCCGGCUUACGGCUGACUCACUAA